rnacentral:rRNA from 1 species
GCAAGUCGUACGAGAAAUCUUCAGCUUGCUGAAGAGAGUAAAGUGGCGCACGGGUGAGUAACGCGUGGGUAAUCUAUCCUUGAAUCGGGGAUAACGUUGCGAAAGCGACGCUAAUACCGGAUAACAUCGUAAAGGCUUCGGUUUUGACGAUCAAAGAUGACCUCUACCUGUAAGUUGUUGUUUGAGGAGGAGCCCGCGUACCAUUAGCUUGUUGGUAGGGUAAAGGCCUACCAAGGCCGCGAUGGUUAGCUGGUCUGAGAGGAUGAUCAGCCACACUGGAACUGACACACGGUCCAGACUCCUACGGGAGGCAGCAGUGAGGAAUUUUGCGCAAUGGGGGAAACCCUGACGCAGCAACGCCGCGUGAGUGAUGAAGGCUUUAGGGUCGUAAAGCUCUGUCAAGUGGGAAGAACCUACCCGGAAGUAAUAAGGCCGGGUACUGACGGUACCACUGAAGGAAGCACCGGCUAACUCCGUGCCAGCAGCCGCGGUAAUACGGGGGGUGCAAGCGUUAUUCGGAAUCAUUGGGCGUAAAGGCCACGCAGGCGGCCUGGUAAGUCAGAUGUGAAAGCCCGGGGCUUAACCCCGGAAGUGCAUUUGAAACUAUCAGGCUUGAGUAUGGGAGAGGGAAGUGGAAUUCCUGGUGUAGAGGUGAAAUUCGUAGAUAUCAGGAGGAACACCGGUGGCGAAGGCGACUUCCUGGAC